rnacentral:rRNA from 1 species
CAAUAGCGUAUAUUAAAGUUGUUGCAGUUAAAAAGCUCGUAGUUGGACCUUGGACCUGGACAGGCGGUCCGCCUCACGGCGAGUACUGUCUUGCUGGGUCUUUCCUCUUGGUGAUCUGUUGUUUCGGCAGCAGGGAACCAGGACCUUUACUUUGAAAAAAUUAGAGUGUUCAAAGCAGGCUCGACGCCGGAAUAUAUUAGCAUGGAAUAAUAAAAUAGGACGUGCGGUUCUAUUUUGUUGGUUUUUGGAAUCGCCGUAAUGAUUAAUAGGGACAGUCGGGGGCAUUAGUACUCACAUGCUAGAGGUGAAGUUCUUGGAUUUUGUGAAGACUAACUUCUGCGAAAGCAUUUGCCAAGGAUGUUUUCAUUAA